GGGCAAGGAUAACGGGUAACACCCGCCGGGGGCGACCCCAGGAAAAGUGCAACAGAAAUAGACUACUGGCGGGCGCAAGCCUGCCAGCAAAGGUGGAAAGGCGAGGUAAGAGCUCACCCAAUGGCGUGUGAAAGCGCCCAUUGCUGUAAACUCUAUCCGGAGCAACGCCGUGGGAACACACAAGGCCGGCCCGGCCGUGUUCAGGAGGCGGCUGGAGCGCGUUGGCAACAGCGCGUCGAGAUAGAUGGCUGUCUUAAAUGACAGAACCCGGCUUACAGGCUUACUUG
rnacentral:RNase_P_RNA from 1 species